CAACCCUCAAGCCCCCUCGGGGGAUUGGUGCUGGGGAUCGGCCGUCAUGGGCCGGCCCCGAAAUCGAGUGGCGGUCUCGCCGUCGCCUCCUCUGCGUAGUAGAAACACCUCGCACUGGGACGCGGCGCGGCCAUGCCGUUAAACCCCCGACUUCUGAAA
rnacentral:misc_RNA from 1 species